AGUCCUUACUUAAUCAGCAUGUUUUACCAAAUCAAUGUAGUCAUAAGUUGACUUUAACAUUUCAUACAUUCAACAUAUAUAUUAGAUAGAUCAUGCUCUCUGCAAUAAAGAUUUAAAAUAAUUAAUCACCAAUUCACAUAGCAAAUAGGAACUGAAAGACUUGCCUGAUUCGUAGUUUAUGAACUACGACUUAACUACUUAACGCGUAUCUGCACUUCGUGUAUUCCUACACAGUUAUAUAAUCAUUGAUUCACAUCCAUUAGUUAUAUAUUUCAUACAUUCUUAAUAUAAUAGUAACGUUACAUUGUUUCCUAACUAGGUUUGUAAAACCUACCUUUCAAUUUCUCAUCAUGCUCUUAGAAUAGCUAAGUAUGUAUAGGUAUACCUUAACAACUCAUACUUACAUCAACAUUCAUAUAUAUCAUUCACACACUUGACUCGCUAUGUGUUCGACACAUAUUUAAAGUUCAUAGAUACACGAUCUACAUCGUUCUUACAUUUUACAAACUUUAAUAAAGUUUAACAACUUUGUGUUUUAUAUAACCAUUACAUGAUCUCAUGCUUAAACAUCAUCUAUGUUAAGUAUUA
rnacentral:lncRNA from 1 species